rnacentral:rRNA from 1 species
AUUGAACGCUGGCGGCAGGCCUAACACAUGCAAGUCGAGCGGAUGAAGGGAGCUUGCUCCUGGAUUCAGCGGCGGACGGGUGAGUAAUGCCUAGGAAUCUGCCUGGUAGUGGGGGAUAACGUCCGGAAACGGGCGCUAAUACCGCAUACGUCCUGAGGGAGAAAGUGGGGGAUCUUCGGACCUCACGCUAUCAGAUGAGCCUAGGUCGGAUUAGCUAGUUGGUGGGGUAAAGGCCUACCAAGGCGACGAUCCGUAACUGGUCUGAGAGGAUGAUCAGUCACACUGGAACUGAGACACGGUCCAGACUCCUACGGGAGGCAGCAGUGGGGAAUAUUGGACAAUGGGCGAAAGCCUGAUCCAGCCAUGCCGCGUGUGUGAAGAAGGUCUUCGGAUUGUAAAGUACUUUAAGUUGGGAGGAAGGGCAGUAAGUUAAUACCUUGCUGUUUUGACGUUACCAACAGAAUAGGCACCGGCUAACUUCGUG